UUCAAAGGAAGGAGCUGAGAGGUUUCUUGGAGCCUUGGCUUUGUUGUUUGACUUAUCUGAUGCUCAUAAAUUAUCAACAAACAAUCUCAGCUCUCAAGCCUGUGAGGAGGACUAGGAGCUGCUGUUUCAGAUGAUUUCCCGUGCAUGGGUGGCUGGCAUCAUCUUGAGAGCAAAAGGUCCUGCCUACCCUCUGCAGCUCCUUUGCCGUGUUCAUGGAGAGAUCGAAAGGGAGCGGAGACGCAGGAGGCAGAUGUCCCUGGAGAUGAGGGGAUUGUACUGCCCCAUGGGUCUUGUGCCAAGAGCCAGCACAUUGAGAAUGUAAGGUCAGCACUGGUGGUGGGAAGUUUUGCCCAUUCUGUGAUCGGAUGA
rnacentral:lncRNA from 1 species